rnacentral:rRNA from 1 species
AUUGAACGCUGGCGGCAGGCUUAACACAUGCAAGUCGAGCGGAGAGAGGUAGCUUGCUACUGAUCUUAGCGGCGGACGGGCGAGUAAUGCUUAGGAAUCUGCCUAUUAGUGGGGGACAACAUCUCGAAAGGGAUGCUAAUACCGCAUACGUCCUACGGGAGAAAGCAGGGGAUCUUCGGACCUUGCGCUAAUAGAUGAGCCUAAGUCGGAUUAGCUAGUUGGUGGGGUAAAGGCCUACCAAGGCGACGAUCUGUAGCGGGUCUGAGAGGAUGAUCCGCCACACUGGGACUGAGACACGGCCCAGACUCCUACGGGAGGCAGCAGUGGGGAAUAUUGGACAAUGGGGGGAACCCUGAUCCAGCCAUGCCGCGUGUGUGAAGAAGGCCUUAUGGUUGUAAAGCACUUUAAGCGAGGAGGAGGCUACUUUAGUUAAUACCUAGAGAUAGUGGACGUUACUCGCAGAAUAAGCACCGGCUAACUCUGUGCCAGCCGCCGCAGUAAGAC